UAUCAGUUAGUUCUUGAAGAUCUUGAUGUUUUGGUCUCUAUAAGGUCUGAUGAGGAUUUAAAGCAUAGGCUUGAUGAGUAUGAUUGCCUAGAGAGUGAAGGAAAGCUUCAAUGUUUCUUAUUUCCUUCAAAUCCAAUUUUCAUUAAGGCUCAGCCAUUCUCCUCAAAUCCCCAGCAAAUUGAGCAACGUUAUUUUGAAGCUAUCAAUGACAUUGUAUGGUCUGGCUCCUUUGCCAAUGUAAAACUCUCCCGUAGUACCGCUAACUGACCUACAUUCAGUAUUUCAUCUACUUGUUCAUCUCCAAAAUCAUCUUCUUUAAAUGCCCAAAUGGCUGAAUCUAUGGCCCAAGAAAUGUUGUCUUGGUAUAGCAUGAAACCAAGUUACCCUCCUAUGCAAAAGGUCCAUAGCUCUCUUAGCCUUUGCAGUUUUAACAACCUUCAACCUCCCACCAACAUCAUUCCGGUUAGUAAACACCAUAUUCAGCAACGCCAUUACCACUAUCAACAAAACAAGCAACAGCAGCAACAUCAUACUUCCAAGGUUGAAAGCUUUUCUUAAGUAAGAUUAAUUGUUAUGUAAGUGAAGUCUUUAAUUUCUUUGGUUUAUUUGGUGGCUUUAUUUUUUUUUUUUUUUUAUUUUUUUUUUUUUUGUUAAUUUGAUGACUUUAAUUGUUGUAAUGUUAGGUAAGUGAAGUCUUUAAUAGUGUCCCAAUUUAAGUUAACCUACUACUUUCAUACAUUCAAACUUUAGAUUUCUCAUAUCAAUCUUUACUUUCGUUGCUUCCAAUGCCUACUGAUUCUUCUUAACUCCAGUAUGUGGAUUUGCUAUCUCUUUUCUUUCCUUUUUCAAAUAUUUCAGAUGCCUACUGAUUUCUCAUAUCCGCUAACAGUUUCCUUUUUCAAAUAUUUCAGAUGAGAAAGGGAAGUUUGAUGAGUUGGUUGAAGAUCAAAAUGUGAAAAUAAUGAUUGAUCCGAAGACUCUGAUGCACAUAAUAGGAACAAAGAUGGACUUUGUCGAUGACAAAUUAAGAAAUGACAUGUAUUGAAAUGACAUAUAUUGAAGAAGCUUUGGGAAGUAUAGUUGCAUGGCCAUCUAAUAAAGUGAUCAUUGGUGAAUGAAAUGGAGUCGUCGAACCAACGAUGACAGUUAGCUCAUAUAAUCUUAUACACUUAUGAUGAACUUUGUUUGUAUUUUGAGGGUUAAUUUGUGUGGUUGGUACAUUAUUUACUAAUAUGUGUAUUUUGUUUGUUAAUUU